GUGGCUUUUAGGUUCAUUUUCCUAUGCUGCUUACAUCUGCAAUACUGAAUUUCCAGUAUCUUGUUUCUUGUUAUAUAGAAUUAAGCAAUUCCAAAGCUUCUUUCUGUACCUGUUUGUCCUCUUCUGUAUGUGCAGGAUACUCCUUCGCUUUGCUUAACCACAGAAGAGCCAUCUUUUUGUUGUUUAACUUCAGGUAUGUCUUCCCCAGAAAGAGCAAAUUUUUGCUGUAGAAAUUUGGGUCAGCUGUACAGAGACAGGAAAAGCAUUCCAUGAUAAUGAGCAGCAUACUACCAAAGCCACGAUAUAGCAUCAUGCCUUUAAACCCUUAUUUCAGAAAAAGAUUAAUAGUGUUUUGGCUUUGGAUCAAAAGGAACACAGUGUAAAACUAUAACACUUUCUAGACUUUGGUUUCCUACAUGGUUAUGUUAGCUAGCAUAUUUUGCACAAUAAUAAAGUACACAUAGGCAGGUAAAUGCCUGGCUGUAGAAAAAGUGCAGUUUGAUAAUGGUGACAGAGGCUGAGAGCAGCAGUACUGCCUGCUCCCCUCUUCCAGCAGGCGGACCCACUCUGUGGUGUGCUUCAGUAGUAAGCUGCAACUCUACCUUUAGCACUGCUGUAUACUCCAAUACUUGUUAGAUUUUUUCAGUCAUUGACUAUUACUCUGUUCUUAACAUUUCAAAUUCAAGCGGACAAAAAUCAUAGCUGCACAAAAGGACACACAUCAGUUAAAAAAAAAGUAAAUAAAUAUAUAUAUAAUACUGUAAUAUAUAAUAAUAUAAAAUAUACAGAUUGCUCCAAAAGCAAUGCCUUAUUUAUUUCUAUGGAAACUACAACAAAGACCACAGUAACACUAUUUGAUAGCUAGCUACAAAACACUAUUUUUCCCACAUGUCACUACCAUUAUUUAGGGCCACAAAAACGAUUAGGGGUCUGGAGGAUCUCCCAUACAAGGAAAGACUGAGGGACCUGAAACUGUUCAUCCUGGAGAAGACUGAGAGGGGAUCUCAUCAAUACUUAUACAGAUCUCAGGUGCGGGAAUCAAAUGGAUAGGACCAGGCUCUUUUCAGUUGUGCCUGGCAAUGGGACAAGGGACAACAGGCAAAAAACACAACACAGGAGGUUCCAUACAAACACGUGAAACAACUUCCCUACCAUGAGGAUAACAGAGCACUGGUACAGGCUGCCCAGAGAGACAGCAGAGUCUCCUCUGGAGAUAUUCAAGACCUGUCCGGGAAUUCUUCCUGUGUAACCUACUGCAGGGAACCUGCUUUAGCAGGGGGUUGGACUCCAUGAUCUCCAGAGGUCCCUUCCAACAUCUACUGUGAUUAGCUGUGCAUUUUCACCAGUAAUGAACAAGACCCUACAUGCCAUGUUUGUAAAAAUCUGCACCAGCAGAGGUGACCACUGCGCCACUGCAGAAAC
rnacentral:lncRNA from 1 species